rnacentral:lncRNA from 1 species
GGGGGGUAGAAGUUCAAUGUUUGUUUCUUGAAACAUAUAAAUGAACCAAAAUUUAAAAAAAUGAAGUAAAUACCAGACUAUAUAGCAAAGGUUACGGACUCAAGUUGGGUCAUGCAGGUGCAACAAAUGCGGCAGUGUUAAACAUGUUUAGGGAUAUCUCAUGCCCCUCUUUAUACGUCUAACCAAUGUAGUUAUUUCUGGCUUCUAUUUGUAAUGUAUCCAAAACGUUAAAAGGAAAGGCCA